rnacentral:rRNA from 1 species
UACGGAGGGGGCUAGCGUUGUUCGGAAUUACUGGGCGUAAAGCGCGCGUAGGCGGAUCUGCAAGUCGGGGGUGAAAUCCCGAGGCUCAACCUCGGAACUGCCUUCGAUACUGCGGGUCUCGAGUCCGGGAGAGGUGAGUGGAAUUCCUAGUGUAGAGGUGAAAUUCGUAGAUAUUCGGAAGAACACCAGUGGCGAAGGCGGCUCACUGGACCGGUAUUGACGCUGAGGUGCGAAAGCGUGGGGAGCAAACAGG